rnacentral:rRNA from 1 species
GACGAACGCUGGCGGCGUGCCUAAUACAUGCAAGUCGAGCGGACAGAUAAGGAGCUUGCUCCUUUGAAGUCAGCGGCGGACGGGUGAGUAACACGUGGGCAACCUGCCUAUAAGACUGGGAUAACUCCGGGAAACCGGGGCUAAUACCGGAUAGAUUCUUUCCUCUCAUGAGGAAAGAAGGAAAGAUGGUUUCGGCUAUCGCUUAUAGAGUGGCCCGCGGCGCAUUAGCUAGUUGGUAAGGUAACGGCUUACCAAGGCGACGCUGCGUAGCCGACCUGAGAGGGUGAUCGGCCACACUGGGACUGAGACACGGCCCAGACUCCUACGGGAGGCAGCAGUAGGGAAUCUUCCGCAAUGGACGAAAGUCUGACGGAGCAACGCCGCGUGAACGAAGAAGGCCUUCGGGUCGUAAAGUUCUGUUGUUAGGGAAGAACAAGUACGAUAGUAACUGAUCGUACCUUGACGGUACCUAACCAGAAAGCCACGGCUAACUACGUGCCAGCCGCCGCGGUAAUAC